rnacentral:rRNA from 1 species
CCUACGGGUGGCAGCAGUGAGGAAUAUUGGUCAAUGGCCGUAAGGCUGAACCAGCCAAGCCGCGUGAAGGAAGAAGGAUCUAUGGUUUGUAAACCUCUUUUAUAGGGGAAUAAACGUAGCCACGUGUGGAUAUGUGCCUGUACCUUAUGAAUAAGCAUCGGCUAACUCCGUGCCAGCAGCCGCGGUAAUACGGAGGAUUCGAGCGUUUUCCGGGUUUAUUGGGUUUAAAGGGUGCGUAGGGUGUUUUUUAAGUCAGCGGUGAAAGUUUGUGGCUCAACCAUAGAAUUGCCGUUGAAACUGGAAGACUUGAGUGUUGUUGAGGUAGGCGGAAUGCGUGGUGUAGCGGUGAAAUGCGUAGAUAUCACGCAGAACUCCGAUUGCGAAGGCAGCUUACUAG